rnacentral:lncRNA from 1 species
UCUUAUGUAAUUAUAAAUUUUGUUAUUUUUCCAAUGUUUCAAAGAAUAAAAUAUUUUUUUAAAGCAUUCAAGUAUAAAAUAAUCAUUUUGCUUAAAUGCUUUAACAGAUUCUAAAGUUGUUAGUAGUUAAAUAGUUGAUUGAUACAACUUUGAAAAUAUUGGUGGCGCAUACAACAAGUCAAAACUUUUUUAUGGCUAAAUGUACAUAUGACAAAACAAUAGCCGUGAAGAGAAAAUUUUUUCCAAAAAAAGGGGUGGAUAAAAUCUAAUCAAUAUUUUAAUCUCAUACCUUCUUUACUAUUCUAUUCAAGUAGACAGUAAAAUAAAAUUGCUAUAAAACCAUUCAAUUGUCUUGUUUUACAACUUACCAAUAAUUUACCUUAAAUUAUAUUUUGCUUUUUUGGAACUAAGAUCUUUUCAUGGUUCAGGGUUCUCCUAAGUUUUAUGAUCCUGUGCCAUGAACAUUUUGAAUAAUACAUAUAGUUUAGAUUUAUUUAUAUUUUUUAUUUUUUCAAAUGAUUACUAAUCAUAUGACCUUAAAUUUUACUCUAAAGAAACUGAAAUUAGGAGGAAACCUUGGUCCUAUUUUAUGAUAAGUACUAAAAUGCAGUGGUCACUAAAGGAAAACGAAAAACACUUUGCAUUUUGUACUCCAUAAUCUGCUCAAUAUUGUAACUAGCUCGCUGGGCAUGAGAGAUCGAGUCUUUGAGGAUCUAGCCACUAUACUAUUGAAUAGUGGUGUCUUAUCUAUCCCAUGCUAGCUGGCUCGAGUAUUUUACAUACAGCUAUAGAGACGUCGGGCCGCCAAAGGCGUAAAGGGCACAAGUAAAUAUCAUUUUGAGACAAAUACUCGUAGAUUUCAAGUUCUAACAGCUAGCCGUUGGCUCCUGCACGCACACAGAUACUAACACUGGCACAGCAAGAUCCAACGAAUUAUAAAACGAACCUCCAAUUACACCACAACUAGAUCUCUGCAGCUGUAAUAAAUAUAACAAGAAGCUAGAGGGUGGUCACAAAUAUAGAGGCGUCCUUGCACGAACAAUUAACUAACGCUGUUAAGCAGCUUAAGUAAUGGACGACGUUGAUUGGUUAUUUCUAUGACAUAUCUAUACCUCCCACGUAUUUUAGCUAGCUAGCUAUAGCUUUAUAUAAAUGCAUUGUUACUUGGUAGGCGGCAGCCUCUAAGAUCCCAUCAUGACAAAUAUUUCUCUUCAAAAGCUGCAUGCUGAUCCGUAGCUCUCUCUUUGUCAAACCUGAUCACACUUUCAAAAGCUGUAUAUCGCAGAUGGCAGUUUUCCUCCUAAUGCAUAUAUGCAGGCGGACAAGCGAAUGCACUGGGCUCAUUUUUGUACCGUUGUCUAUGAUUUUGUAACAAAAAUACAUAAGAAACUUAUUUAAUUGACUAAAGAGUUUCAUAAACUGAUUACUUGAAUUGGUUAUAUUGUUGUUGAUCUCCUCGAAAUAAAUUUAUAAAAUGGUUUCGUUUAGCAUAUCGUACUGAGCCGCUGCUGGUUGAUGAAUCCAAUUUUGCUAAGUCCGGACAUUAAUUAAUUAGUAGGUUCGGAUUUCACGAUUAGUUUAGUAGAAUAUUUUAGUGAAGGUGGAUUUAGGUAAAAAAAUUUCACAAGUAGGAAAAGUUCCAACCAAUUUGCAACCCAAACCGAAAUUGUACUCGAACUUUCAACCUGAAUUUAAAAUAACUUUUCAACCUGUUUUUGGUUUAUUCUCAAACUCGAAUGGAUUGUAACGUGAACCAAAACCAGUAAAAAUCGAACUAAAACCCGAAAUAUCCACCCUCAAUUCUAAGGAUAUUAUAUCAGGUUAAACAUAAACUUUUAGUGAUAGUCGAUAUUAAGGGAUUGAGCUUAGAAUUUUUAGAUAUCCAACUCAAAAAUUUAUAUUAUUGGGUGAAGGGAUCUAUCCUAGAUAUAAAUAUGAAUAACUCCCUUUUACUAACCAAUGUAGAACACAACUCAACAAUCCUCCCUCAGAUGAAACCAUUGUCGAACCCGAACACUUUCGUCUAACACACCUGAGUUAUUCCACCCCCACAUUCUAGCUACAAAUGUUUAGUUUUGAUAUCACUUGUUAGGAAAUUUUAUCUCACUUAAAAUCUAGAUAGCAAAAUAUCAAAAAGUUAACAAAUAGAUGGAAAAUAAAAUUAAUCAUAUAGCUUAAGAAUUUACAUAGAAAACUUCUAUAUCGGAGAAAAACCACAGCAACCCAUGAUGACGAGAGAAAAAAUCCACCAUGUGAAAAGCUAUCAUAAUCGUUUUAGUAUUUUCCUCAAUCCUAAAACUCUAAUAAUAUGUCCAAUCUUUCAAUAAACCUACUGUUUCUCUCAAAUUUAAAACUGCUAUUAUUAAAGAAGACUAAACUCAUUAACAGGUGAAUCCAACCUCCUAUACAUGAUGAUAAUUCUUUUAAGGUUUUUUUUUGGAAAAAUAUUUUUUUCUUUACACAAAUUAUAUACCUCCUUAAAUAAGCUAAAGUCUUAAAGGAAAAUUAUUAUUGUUUAAAUAGAAUCCUUCUUAAUAAGAAAAUGUCUUAGGAAAUCUCUUAACAAUUAUGAUAAGAAUUCUUAUUGGGAAAAAUACAUAUCUUCUAACAGUCUCCAACUUAGUGUUUUUUUCGAUUAGGCAACAAAACAUAAUCUAUCAUGUAUUCACAUAGAUGUGUCGUCUCCACCUUUUUUACUCUAUCGAAACCACUCUUACAUAGACUUAUAAGAAUCACUCCACCAUGGAUAAAAUAUUAUCCUCUAUCCAGCAACCAUGAUUAUCUACAUCGAAAAUUAUCUGGAGUACACAUAUUCGCCAUUUGUUGAUCACCUUGCCUAAAAAAUACACACUCUUGUGUUUGGCUUCUUUAAGAAUCUUCAACCAUGGACAUAAAAAUUCCAUCACGCACCUUGCAAAAAUUUUAAAUCAUGCCUCGUGUGCAAAUUUUAUGAACCCAUUAGCAGUAACACAUCCUCUUCCAUAACACGCUAAAAAUGAUAAACGAACCUCUCAUGGAGAAAAGAGACACACUGCUAGCUAACAUAAUCAGCAUCUCCAUUUACUGAUUUAAUGCAGCAUGUCGAACCUACUCCAUUCCAACAAUCUUCUUUAAGAUGCCUUAAUUAUUUACACACAUCCAAGAGUUUCAACCAAUAUGAACAUAGUUUACAUCACCCUUGUUUUUCUUGUGAAUUUUCCGUGAUCCAAAUUUGAUUUUUUCAUCAAACUUUUUAACAUUAAUUCUCAUAAAACUUAUAAAUUUGUUUACAAAUAUAAUUACUUUGUAGAAUAACCUUAGCUUUAAUACCACUUAUUAGGGAGGUUAUGCCUAGAAUUUUUAAGUAUCUAACCUAAAAGAUUUACUUAUUGGGUAGAGGGACCUAUUUUAAGUAUAAAUGAUAAAUCCAAGUAACUCUCGUACUAAUAAAUGUGAAACACAACUCAACAAUCAUAUUUAAUAUGCUAAAAUCACAUUAGAACUUAAUACAAGAUAAAUCAAUUUUAUUAAGGACUAUGAAAGAUAGUUAUCGCACUUAUGGGACCUUCAAAUGGUGGGCAAGAUUGGAAAUAAAGGGACCAAAAUGUCAAAGCGGUAAUGUUCGGGUCCAACAUUUUAAGAUCAAAGGUGAACAAAUUUGAAAGCUCCUUCUUAUAAGUUCAAAUUAUAAAGAUAAACAAAAGAAAAUCUUUUACAACUGUCAACCUAAAGUUUAUAAGGUUUCUAAUACUCCAUUGCCGACUUAAAUUUUGCUGAUGUUAGAAGGAUAAAAUUAUCAUUUAACUUUCACAUAAAAAAAUUUUAAUAUUUAAAAUUAAUAGAAUUUUAAUUUAUAGAAAUCUUAAUUCACAAGUAGGACACUUGUUUUGUUUAACAUGUUUUAUAAGAUAAUACUAUUAUUAGCAAGAUCAUAGGAUGAGUUAAAAUUAACACAAUUUUAGGAAGAUACGAAGCAUAGAUUUUUUUCUUUUCCUCCCUUAAAAACAGUGAAAUUACUUAUCCUGGUUUUUCUAUUUUACAUUUUGAAUAUUAUUAAUUAAAAUAAUUUAAGAUAACAACCAGGAUAAAACAAUCAUUUUCGAUUUAAGAUCAUUUUAUCAAUAUUCUGUUAAAUAUUUUCACAAUUUUGAGUUUUUAAAAAGAUUUCGUGUAUGUUUUAUAAAGCGUAAAAUUGGAUAUUUAUCCUUAACGAAAAUUUAUUUAUUUUUUUAACUAACGGAACCAAAUCCUAUAUAUAGAUGUAUAGUAUGCAUUAAUAAAUAAAUAGAA